rnacentral:rRNA from 1 species
UAGGGAAUCUUCCACAAUGGACGCAAGUCUGAUGGAGCAACGCCGCGUGAGUGAAGAAGGUUUUCGGAUCGUAAAGCUCUGUUGUUGGUGAAGAAGGAUAGAGGCAGUAACUGGUCUUUAUUUGACGGUAAUCAACCAGAAAGUCACGGCUAACUACGUGCCAGCAGCCGCGGUAAUACGUAGGUGGCAAGCGUUGUCCGGAUUUAUUGGGCGUAAAGCGAGCGCAGGCGGAAUGAUAAGUCUGAUGUGAAAGCCCACGGCUCAACCGUGGAACUGCAUCGGAAACUGUCAUUCUUGAGUGCAGAAGAGGAGAGUGGAACUCCAUGUGUAGUGGUGGAAUGCGUAGAUAUAUGGAAGAACACCAGUGGCGAAGGCGGCUCUCUGGUCUGCAACUGACGCUGAGGCUCGAAAGCAUGGGUAGCGAACAGGAUUAGAUACCCUGGUAGUCCAUGCCGUAAACGAUGAGCGCUAGGUGUUGGGGACUUUCCGGUUCUCAGUGCCGCAGCAAACGCAUUAAGCGCUCCGCCUGGGGAGUACGACCGCAA